AGGUGUAACAACAACACUGGCAUCAGAGGUGUAACAACAACACUGGCAUCAGAGGUGCCACAACAACACUGGCAUCAGAGGUGCCACAACAACACUGGCAUCAGAGGUGUAACAACAACACUGGCAUCAGAGGUGUAACAACAACACUGGCAUCAGAGGUGCCACAACAACACUGGCAUCAGAGGUGCCACAACAACACUGGCAUCAGAGGUGCCACAACAACACUGGCAUCAGAGGUGCCACAACAACAUUCACUCACCUUGUGUAUAUUCUUUACUGAAACAAUCUCACCUUUUUCUUGUGCUUGUUGCUCUUGAGAUGGUCGGACAACGUGUGGGAACUGUUGAAUUUCUUGUUGCAGAUGUUGCAAAGAAAGGGUUCACUCACGUUGUCGGUCUCAGUGACAAGUCCG